rnacentral:rRNA from 1 species
UUAAGCAUAUCAAUAAGCGGAGGAAAAGAAACCAACAGGGAUUGCCCCAGUAACGGCGAGUGAAGCGGCAACAGCUCAAAUUUGAAAUCUGGCCCCUAGGGUCCGAGUUGUAAUUUGUAGAGGAUGCUUUUGGUGAGGUGCCGCCCGAGUUCCCUGGAACGGGACGCCGCAGAGGGUGAGAGCCCCGUCUGGCUGGCCACCGAGCCUCUGUAAAGCUCCUUCAACGAGUCGAGUAGUUUGGGAAUGCUGCUCAAAAUGGGAGGUAUAUGUCUUCUAAAGCUAAAUAUUGGCCAGAGACCGAUAGCGCACAAGUAGAGUGAUCGAAAGAUGAAAAGCACCUUGAAAAGAGGGUUAAACAGUACGUGAAAUUGUUGAAAGGGAAGCGCUUGUGACCAGACUUGGGCGCGGCGGAUCAUCCGGGGUUCUCCCCGGUGCACUUCGCCGCGUUCAGGCCAGCAUCAGUUCGGCGCGGGGGAAAAAGGCUUCGGGAACGUGGCUCCUCCGGGAGUGUUAUAGCCCGUUGCAUAAUACCCUGUGCUGGACUGAGGACCGCGCAUCUGCAAGGAUGCUGGCGUA